rfam:Triticum aestivum genome assembly, contig: Triticum_aestivum_CS42_TGACv1_scaffold_642023_T_2AL-0.230906_1BS-0.119325
GUUAUACUCCCUCCGUUCCAAAUUAUUUGUCUUAAAUUUGUCUAGAUACGGAGGUAUCUAGCACUAAAAUGAGUCUAGUUACAUCUGUAUCUAGACAAAUCCAAGACAAGUAAUUCAGAACGGAGGGAGUACAUA